UCUCAGCUGCCGAUGAAGGAUCUAUCGAUGACGAUGGUGAAAAUUUUCGCUCCUUAAUUAAAAUACUGCAUGACAGAUUCAAUGAUAAAGAAACGGAUAAGUCUUUAAAAAUACAAAUUUUGACAUUGUUACCUAAAAAAUGGAGUGAAAGGAGUAUUUGUUAAACCAUGAAUACAUCACGAAAUUUAAUAACGGUAGCAAAAAAGUAUGUUGAAGAAGAAAUUAGGGAAGACAAUGACUCAUCAAAUGUUAUUAAAAAUUGAGAGUUUUUAYAACGMUGAUGAGUAUAGCGCUUUGAUGCCCGGUAUGAAAAACUUUGUUACAGUUCGAAAUAAUGAUGGCAAUCGAGUACACGUCCAAAAACGGUUUGUUCUGUCUAACUUAAAAGAAUUAUACCAAUGUUUCCGUGAAAUAAACCCAACGGAGAAAAUUGGAUUUUCGAAAUUCGCUUCUUUACGACCAAAACUUUGUGUGUUAGCAGGAGCAAGUGGAACACACACCAUCUGUGUAUGUAUGUACGAUCCAUCAAAAUUUUAACUUGAUGAUGAUUGGUGCAAAUCUUCAUUCUUUAACAAUAAAUAUGGAAAGCCCAUGAAACACUAUAGUGAUUGUUUGGACAUGAUAAUUUGUGAGGCUCCAUCGGUCCAAUGUUAUUUGGGUGGAUGUAACAACUGUCCAGGGGUAGAAGAGUUGAGUAACAUUCUACUAACAUGU